rnacentral:rRNA from 1 species
AUUGAACGCUGGCGGCAUGCCUUACACAUGCAAGUCGAACGGUAACAGGCUAAGCUGACGAGUGGCGAACGGGUGAGUAAUGUAUCGGAACGUGCCCAGUCGUGGGGGAUAACUGCUCGAAAGAGCAGCUAAUACCGCAUACGACCUGAGGGUGAAAACGGGGGAUCGCAAGACCUCGCGCGAUUGGAGCGGCCGAUAUCAGAUUAGGUAGUUGGUGAGGUAAAGGCUCACCAAGCCGACGAUCUGUAGCUGGUCUGAGAGGACGACCAGCCACACUGGGACUGAGACACGGCCCAGACUCCUACGGGAGGCAGCAGUGGGGAAUUUUGGACAAUGGGCGCAAGCCUGAUCCAGCCAUGCCGCGUGCGGGAAGAAGGCCUUCGGGUUGUAAACCGCUUUUGUCAGGGAAGAAAAGGUUCUGGCUAAUACCUGGGACUCAUGACGGUACCUGAAGAAUAAGCACCGGCUAACUACGUGCCAGCAGCCGCCGUAACAC